UCCUGAGGAAGAUGGAACAAUUCAGAGAGACACAAAGAACAAAACAAGGAAGAGAGUUGCUGCUAUAAAAGAUCUGCUACAAGGAUGUCCUGAUGGGGCUGGGAUCGGUCACGACAUUGGAGAUUGCAGGAGCCUGGAGGAUUAACAGCUGACACACUGAGGCCAAACCUGUGCCAGCCCCCACGACAGCCUUGAUAAAGAAAAUAAGUCAUCAUGAGCUCCUUUUGAAGGGAGCAGAAGGCCUCACCUGCAGAACAGACCAUCCUUAGGGAUGUUUCCUGCCUCCCUGGGGCUUGGGGUGAAGAUGAGAAGAGAAAGGUUCCUACUCCAGUACAGCCCUCAAAUUAUUAUCCAUGAUUGAUUUCUCAAAGGGGCAGCAGUGAAGUCACAACCAGAGGUCUGAGGGAAAUCCAGAGACUUCAGAGCCUUGGACUGACUGAUUGAAAGAACAGGAGCAGAAGCAAUGUACUCCUCUAUCAUUCCAGUUCCAGGAAGAGCAGAUUAACACCUCUCUGUGGGCUGGGUGUCACCUGCAGAAUUCUGGGGUCUUUGAUCAGAGUAAAGGACAGCAGAGACUCACUAGAGUGAGAAAUUGGGUGUGUCAGUCUUCUUGAUCACCAGGAAACAAAAAUACACAUAGGAGAGAUGGGCAUCCCAAGAAACAGACCCUUAGGAAUCCUAUCCUCAUUCAGCUGAUUGACUACAUGGAAGCAAACUACACAGCUACAGAGAGACCAGUAUUUUCAACUAAGCACUGAAGUUUUGGGAAACUAAAAGCAGUUUUUGCAGUUAGAAAAUUAUUAUUCUUUCUCAGCACUUGUGAGGUGAAAAUGAGCAGUUACGUUUAACUUCAGCCACUGCACAGUUGUUUAGAAGGAACCUCUGGCUUUUACUUUAUGUAAAAUCCAUGGCAGAAUUGAGACAAGACUGGAAUAAGUCUGCAGUUUGAGCAGCAACCCAGGUUUUACUCAACCACUGUGCCUACAUUCUUAAUGACAGCUCUCCUGUGCAUGCUCUUUAAACUGUUGUUCCACAAAAGCCGGGGAAAUUCCUGAUGUGCCAUAUAAUGGAGCAGACCCAUUGCCACGUGUCACUGUGAAAAUUCAGAUUGUCUGCUGUGAAAGUAGCUAAAAUUACAGCUUUAACACCUAAUGCAAAGAAAAAACAUCCAUCUAGUUUAAAUAAUUUAAUGGGGAGAAAACAAAAUACUUUCCCACAAAACAACUUGUAAAUACCACAGCAGUGAACUACUAUUCUUCAUAGAGUCUUAUCUAAAAGCAAAACUAAGAAUAUAAAGCAUGCCUGUGCAGGGAGUGCCCUGCAUUUAAACACCUGCUUGUGUGUUGCUGAGGAAUAACUCAUUAAGAAAAGAAAUAAAUAAAAAUCCAGAAAAUCAUCUUAAAUCCUAGAAGAAUAUUUGCUACCCAAAUUCUACUCCCCCAGUUCAUUGAUGCUUAUCUGUAAAUAGAAGACUGUAAUCCAUCUUGUUGCAAUUAGGUAUCAUUAUCCUGCUCUGUUUUAUGAUUUUCUUCACUAAUGAACUGAAGUGAUUUCAGAUAUUGGUAAUUACAGUGCCUGAAAAUUCUAACAAAAAGCUCCACCAUAAAACAAUAAUUCAAUAAUUCAAGCUAAUAAACCCUGACCAAAAUCUCUCUUAGGCAUAAAUCACCAAUUAAGUACCAAGAGGAAGAUUUGAAUACAACUUUUUAAUAAUUGUUUUCAAAUUAGCAAUAGAAGGAAGCAGGAACUCAAACUCCAAUACAUUGGGGCAUGUUUGAAAAAUUAAGAAAGCAGCUUAUGCAAUUGAUACUUUUCAUCUGUUUGACAGCUUAAAAAUCAAGUUCAUGCACAUGGAAGAUCUAUAGUUUGCAACUGCACUUAAUCCCAAGCACAGAGCUGUCAGGGUGAACACACCUAGACAACUUCUACAUUAAACAGGAUUUACUCAGCCAAGAUAUUGAUAAUUCAAGGUCAGAUCACACUGUAUUACACACUGACAUCUACUCCUCUUGUGUUACCCCAUUUCUGUGCGUCUUCUGAAAAUUCAGACCCACAAUUUCUGUCUCUGCCAACUGCUACAGUCAAGCAGAUAUUAAAAACAGGCAUUGAGAACUGACAGAAAAGUUGUUAUUAUUUGUUACCACAGUAUGAAAUGAAUUUCCUAAAAUGUAUCCACGUAAGAUUGUUGGAAGAAUUAGGCUCUUACUGAUGUUAAUGUGGAAGCAAACAAGAAACAAAGAAGCCCAAUAAGACUGGAUAGAUGCUUGCAUUGAUUGAAUUUUUGUAUAUAUAUAAAACACUUGUGGGACCUUAGGAGAUAGAUGGCUGUCUCAGGCACCAGCUGGAACAUCUGCAGAACGAGGAGGAAGGUCACCAUCAUCUGUGGCAGAAGUGUGUAAUUGCUGAGGCAAAUCACCCCUAGAGAAACACCUCUGAACAAAUGAAUGCUAAGUUCAAACACACUGGCAAGUCAGAUUUCCAAUUGCAGGUUGAUUAAAACUGCAAAUUUUAUACAUUAUGAUGGUGAAUUACUAUGUUCAUAAUUUUGGGACAGGUUAUAGACAGCUAUUACAGACAGGCUGAGCUGAAAUCUAAAUUGCCAGGCAGAGCAGGGAUGCUCCU